AGGAUGAACGCUGGCGGCGUGCUUAACACAUGCAAGUCGAACGCGGAUCGCAAGAUCCGAGUGGCGCACGGGUGAGUAACACGUAGCUAACCUGCCCUCGAGAGCGGGGAUAACGCCCCGAAAGGGGUGCUAAUACCGCAUAAGCUCACGGUCUGUAGAGGACUGACGAGAAAAGGAUUUAUCGCUUGGAGGAGGGGCUGCGGCGCAUCGAGGUAGUGGUGGGUAAUGGACCUACCAGCCAACGACGCGUAGGGGUCUGAGAGGAGUCGGUCCCCACACGUGGGACUAGAGACACGGCCCAGACUCCGUACGGGAGCAGCAGUGAGGAUAGU
rnacentral:rRNA from 1 species